rnacentral:lncRNA from 1 species
GCUCCAACAGCAGGAGAAGACAGCUGUGUACAGGCUUGAUUCUUUCAAGGCUGGGAGCCAAACAACCUGCUGAACAUGCCAAUGUGGUGUAACUGUGGACUAGAGAAACACCUUCAACCUAAAUGGUUGAGGCCAGGAGUAAGGAGGGCUGAAGACCUCCCUACAACCUACCACCUCAACAUUGAGGCUGGACCACUAACUGAAAGGAAGAUGUGA